UGUAAAAUGCAGAUAAUAUAGCCCUGCGAAGUUUGCCGUUUUUCAGUCAUUUUGUAAAACGGCAAACUUCGCAUAUAUUAUCUGCAUUUUACA